AUGAUUAGGACAAGUCAUUUUUCUUCAAGAGGGUCCCAAAAGUCUGGCCAAAAUCUCCCACCGACGAGGACAAAUAGGAAUACAUAUAAAUUCUUUGCGUCUAGAUCUUCCUCUGUCACUCAACAAUUUCUCAAUUGCAGCCCUCAGAAUUCCCCUUUUGGAGUUCCUGAUCUGGGUCAUCCAGAUCUGAUCAAGAAACCACUAAAAAUGAGAUCUUUUGAGAAAUUCAAGAUUUGGGUUUUGUUAAUCUGCUUGGUGUUUGAAUUGGGUUAUGGGUUUUAUCUGCCUGGAAGUUAUCCUCAUAAAUAUGGGGUUGGUGAUUUGUUGAAUGUUAAGGUGAAUUCAUUGACUUCAAUUGACACUGAGUUGCCUUAUAGUUAUUAUAGUUUACCUUUUUGCCAACCACAAGAGGGUGUGAAGGAUAGUGCUGAGAAUCUUGGUGAGCUUCUUAUGGGAGAUAGGAUUGAGAAUUCUCCUUAUAGGUUUAAGAUGUAUACUAAUGAGACUGAGAUUUUCAUGUGUCAAACUAAACCUUUGUCUGGUGAGGAGUUUAAGCUUUUGAAGAAGAGGAUUGAUGAGAUGUAUCAAGUGAAUUUGAUUCUUGAUAAUUUGCCUGCUAUUCGAUAUACGAGGAAGGCAGGUUAUUUCUUGCGGUGGACUGGUUAUCCGGUUGGGAUCAAGGUUCAAGAUGCGUAUUAUGUAUUUAAUCACUUGAAGUUUACGGUUCUUGUUCAUAAGUAUGAAGAGACCAAUGUGGCUCGUGUUAUGGGUACUGGGGAUGGAGCUGAGGUGAUCUCAACAGUUGGAAAGGAUGGAUCUGAGGAACCUGGUUACAUGGUUGUUGGGUUUGAGGUUGUUCCUUGUAGUGUUCAACAUGCUCCUGAUUCAGCAAAGAACUUGAAAAUGUACAAUAAGUACCCGACUCCAAUUAAGUGCGACCCUACAACUGUUGCCAUGGCUAUUAAAGAAAAUGAGCCUGUUUCGUUUACUUAUGAGGUGAACUUUGUGGAAAGUGACAUUAAGUGGCCAUCAAGAUGGGAUGCUUAUUUGAAGAUGGAAGGUGCAAAGGUGCAUUGGUUCUCUAUCCUUAACUCCCUUAUGGUGAUCACUUUCUUGGCUGGAAUUGUGCUUGUAAUCUUCUUGAGGACUGUCAGGCGGGAUCUGACAAGGUAUGAGGAGCUUGACAAAGAGGCUCAAGCUCAGAUGAAUGAGGAGUUAUCCGGGUGGAAACUUGUGGUAAGUGAUGUUUUCAGGGCUCCAAGUAAUCCAGGACUUUUGUGUGCGAUGGUUGGAGAUGGGGUUCAAAUUCUAGGGAUGGGUGUUGUGACUAUCAUGUUUGCUGCCCUCGGAUUUAUGUCCCCAGCUUCUCGUGGAACAUUGAUUACCGGCAUGCUAUUCUUCUAUAUGAUUCUUGGUGUUGCAGCUGGUUAUGUUGCUGUUCGUCUCUGGAGGACAAUCUUCUGUGGCGAUCACAAGGGCUGGAUUUCAGUCUCAUGGAAAGCUGCUUGUUUCUUCCCUGGAAUUGCUUUUCUCAUUCUAACCACAUUGAACUUCCUGCUAUGGGGUAGUCACAGCACAGGGGCCAUACCAUUUUCUCUGUUUGUCGUCCUCAUUUUACUUUGGUUCUGCAUUUCCGUUCCUCUAACCCUAGUCGGUGGUUAUUUGGGGGCAAAGGCUCCUCACAUUGAAUACCCAGUCCGAACUAACCAGAUCCCCCGUGAAAUCCCACCACAAAAAUAUCCAUCUUGGCUUUUAGUUUUGGGUGCAGGCACCCUUCCUUUCGGUACUCUGUUCAUUGAGCUCUUCUUCAUCAUGUCGAGUCUCUGGAUGGGUCGUGUCUACUAUGUCUUCGGCUUCCUCCUCAUUGUCAUGAUCCUUCUCGUCAUAGUCUGUGCUGAGGUCUCUCUUGUUCUGACUUACAUGCAUCUUUGUGUGGAGGACUGGAAAUGGUGGUGGAAAUCCUUCUUUGCCUCCGGAUCAGUUGCUAUAUACAUUUUCCUCUACUCUGUUAACUACCUAAUCUUUGAUCUCAAGAGCUUGAGCGGGCCUGUUUCUGCUACCCUUUACCUUGGAUAUUCCCUCUUCAUGGUCCUUGCCAUCAUGCUCGCGACAGGCACGGUCGGGUUCCUUUCCUCCUUCUGGUUUGUACAUUUCUUGUUCUCUUCAGUGAAGCUGGAUUAAAGAAGUCUCUUAUGGCAGAAAGAAACAAAAGAACCAUUGAAGAAACAGCUGCAGAUGUGUCUUUAAUCAUUCUUGUUUACUUUUUAUUGUCAUAUUACUAUCAUUUUGUAGGGUAUUUGGAACAGAAAGCCAAUAAACUCCUCAAGUUUUGCUAAAUUCUUUAAUAGUCAAGUGUUGCAUGAUAGCUUCAUUGGUUGGGAUAAUCAUAUUUGGAUGUGCUUAUAGUGACGAUUCAGUUGGUAAAUCUGGUUUGUACAUUGCAUUAACUCAACUCAUCAUGAUUCUUGAAUCACUUUUUUGAUUAUU